AAGGGCAAAAAUCAGCCUGUGAAAAUGAAACCAAACUGACUGGAAACAGAAGGCACACACUAACUCCUGCUUCUCGCCACUCCUUACCAAUCCUCA
rnacentral:lncRNA from 1 species